CGGUGAAUACGUUCCCGGGCCUUGUACACACCGCCCGUCACGUCACGAAAGUCGGUAACACCCGAAGCCGGUGGCCUAACCCCUUGUGGGAGGGAGCCGUCUAAGGUGGGACUGGCGAUUGGGACGAAGUCGUAACAAGGUAGCCGUACCGGAAGGUGCGGCUGGAUCACCUCCUUUCUAAGGAG
rnacentral:rRNA from 1 species